UUACAGUUCAUGUUUGAGCGUUCAAAGCCCCUGGAGCUCGGAAAGGUUGUUGUGCAAACCAGAGGAGUUGUCGACUCUCUGAAAGAGGUCGAGCUGUUGGAUAAUGCAGUCUUCUUCAUAACCUUCAAAACAAGUUGCGGUGAUGUCUGGAAAGGUAUCAUCAGGAGGACAAGCGAUGGGAUUCCAGAGCAUCUAUCACUUGAAGCCAAGUGCUUCAUGUGAUGUGAAGAGUCUCUUCUGAGGUUGACUAUGAGAGAAAUUAUAAACGUUUGUAGUUUUUUAUCUACGCUAGCACGUAUCUUUUAAGUUGAUUUAAGGCCACGCUAAUUAAAAUCUUGUAUUCUAAUUUGGAACUUAAAAUGUCUUUUUGGACAUCCACAAUCCAACAUACAAACACAGAGAUUUGAGAACUCUGUCGAUAUAAGAUUUCAGACCCUAAAUUUUAGAAAUAUUACAUUCUAUCCCAAAUUUGAUUUCAGUUGAUAAUGAAGAACCCAGUCUUCACCCAUUUAUUAAAAUGGGGUCAAAAGAGCCCAAACCCAGCCUAUUUAGCUUCUUAUGGCGAAGAGAAGAACGACUACGGCGAGUACCUGAUCUCCGGCUAGAAAAAACCACGACCACCGCUCUUGUUCUGUCUCAACCUAAACUAAGGCAUCGUGAAACACCCGAGUCGGGCGAAAGCAAACACGGGUUUGGGUUAUUAGGAUUUUUUGAACUAAGCCUAGAAGUUCCAUUCGUUUUUUUUUUAAAUGGUUUUGUAGUUAGUUUUGAAGAAAGUUGGUUGCUUUGAUCCAGAUUUUGUUCAUACAAAUGGUGAAAUGUUUAAGAGGAUCUUUAACUUUUCCUAAAGGAUGCUCUUGAAUUACAUUUUCUUUAGUAUAUCAUUAGCCCUCUUACAAGUUAACUGAAAUGACAAUUGACAUUGCCUUUUCCCUUGGAAGAUGGUUAAUAGUUCAGUCUCACAUAUUUUGUUGUUUCUCUAUGUUGAGACACAUGGUUAGUUUGUAUUUAUCCAAACAAAUGGUUGAACUAUAUUAUUCUUGAGUUCUCACCUUCCAAAACCUAGCUAUAGCUUUGGAUAACCUUUGCUCAAAUUACAUUUGACUCUAAUCUUUAUUCUGGGUUUUGCUGCUAGGUCUCGUUGAGCCUUUGAAGAUCAUGGCGAAAAAUGAAUAUUUUGCUUUUUUCAGCUUCGUAUGUCGAAAUAAAGAGAAUUGUGAAAGAAGACGUGAAUUGUUUUUGUACACAAGUUUCUAAGACAUGCUGCUUAUGUUCUAAGUUGCUACUUGGAUUGCACUUCAUUGAUGUUGUUUUGCUGUCUACAAAUGAAUUUGAAAUAAAACCGGUCGCGAGAUUCAUGUUAGACUGCCAAGUACGUACGAGUUACAAAGAAAGUAAUCAUAUAGUUCAUGUCUAAUGGUUUAGUAAACUGGUAAUAGUUGAAUAUAAUGUUACAAGCUUACUUGACAUCAUGUCCGUUUAGUAAACUCGUAAAAAUGUACUAAUGUUAACUAAACAUGUCCGUUUACUUGACAUCAAAUACAAAUCUCUAGGUGGUAAGAAUAUUACUUGCCUUGUUGAGACAGAGAUUCUCUUGUUUUUCGACAGUGGUCGAGGACAUAGUUUGCAGUCGUGUAGCUCCCUCAAGCCCUCGAGGCUAAUCUGAUGAGAUUGCUUUAGAGCGUUUUGAGAAGUUUAAGCGAAGAUUAGUGAUAUGUAUUAUUGAAUUUGUGUGUGAAAGAUGUUAUAUAAAGUGGAGAAGAGGGAUCUAAAGGAAAGUACACGAAGGGUCUUUAUGUACGGACGUGGGACAUCCGGGGAACAGCUCAUUUUGGAUGUAUUGUCAAAAUAAUGAUUUAUAUUAUUCAAGUUUCUAUAUACGUAACGUAAGACACUCGUGGGUUACCUAACGUUGUGGAUUUGUAUGGAUAUAUUAUCUUGUUUAAUAUAUAUAUAUAGUUUUAUAGAAAUCCCCUUAUUAUAUGAUUUGAAGUUAUAAGGUUUAAGUAUAUAGCAUGCAUGCACGAGCGACGGUUCCAGACUGUGUCGGGAAACUGAAAUAAUUUGGAAUUGAAGAGGUGAAUAUUAAAUGAUACGUGAAAUUUUUUAAAUCAAAGUUAGAUCGAAUUUUCAAUAUUGUACUACAUGUUCUAGCACUCGUCAGAUAAUACUUUUUUGGUAUAAAAAACUAUAUAUUUAUUAUCAUUGUUAGCUUGAUGAAACCACAAAUUAAAGAAAUACAUAUCAGCUGGUCUCGAUGUUAACUUCAAUGUUAAAGCCACACUAAUCCCAUAGGUUGUAGAGAGGUCCUUCCAGAUCCAGUUGACCAGCUGGUCUCAAAAAUUAUCCAUCUUCUUCUGGAUAAUCUCUCUGUUUCUUUCAGUAAUUCUAGCUUGUCAUUUCUUUAAAAAAAAAUGGUUUUGUAGUUAGUUUUGAAGAAAGUUGGUUGCUUUGAUCCAGAUUCUGUUCAUACAAAUGGUGAAAUGUUUAAGAGGAUCUUUAACUUUUCCUAAAGGAUGAUCGUGUAUCAUUAGCCCUCUUACAAGUUAACUGAAAUGACAAUUGACAUUGCCUUUUCCCUUGGAAGAUGGUUAAUAGUUCAGUCUCACAUAUUUUGUUGUUUCUCUAUGUUGAGACACAUGGUUAGUUUGUAUUUAUCCAAACAAAUGGUUGAACUAUAUUAUUCUUGAGUUCUCACCUUCCAAAACCUAGCUAUAGCUUUGGAUAACCUUUGCUCAAAUUACAUUUGACUCUAAUCUUUAUUCUGGGUUUUGCUGCUAGGUCUCGUUGAGCCUUUGAAGAUCAUGGCGAAAAAUGAAUAUUUUGCUUUUUUCAGCUUCGUAUGUCGAAAUAAAGAGAAUUGUGAAAGAAGACGUGAAUUGUUUUUGUACACAAGUUUCUAAGACAUGCUGCUUAUGUUCUAAGUUGCUACUUGGAUUGCACUUCAUUGAUGUUGUUUUGCUGUCUACAAAUGAAUUUGAAAUAAAACCGGUCGCGAGAUUCAUGUUAGACUGCCAAGUACGUACGAGUUACAAAGAAAGUAAUCAUAUAGUUCAUGUCUAAUGGUUUAGUAAACUGGUAAUAGUUGAAUAUAAUGUUACAAGCUUACUUGACAUCAGGUCCGUUUAGUAAACUCGUAAAAAUGUACUAAUGUUAACUAAACAUGUCCGUUUACUUGACAUCAAAUACAAAUCUCUAGGUGGUAAGAAUAUUACUUGCCUUGUUGAGACAGAGAUUCUCUUGUUUUUCGACAGUGGUCGAGGACAUAGUUUGCAGUCGUGUAGCUCCCUCAAGCCCUCGAGGUUAAUAAUCUGAUGAGAUUGCUUUAGAGCGUUUUGAGAAGUUUAAGCCAAGAUAGUUAUAUGUAUUGAAUUUGUGUGUGAAAGAUGUUAUAUAAAGUGGAGAAGAGGGAUCUAAAGGAAAGUACACGAAGGGUCUUUAUGUACGGACGUGGGACAUCCGGGGAACAGCUCAUUUUGGAUGUAUUGUCAAAAUAAUGAUUUAUAUUAUUCAAGUUUCUAUAUACGUAACGUAAGACACUCGUGGGUUACCUAACGUUGUGGAUUUGUAUGGAUAUAUUAUCUUGUUUAAUAUAUAUAUAUAGUUUUAUAGAAAUCCCCUUAUUAUAUGAUUUGAAGUUAUAAGGUUUAAGUAUAUAGCAUGCAUGCACGAGCGACGGUUCCAGACUGUGUCGGGAAACUGAAAUAAUUUGGAAUUGAAGAGGUGAAUAUUAAAUGAUACGUGAAAUUUUUUAAAUCAAAGUUAGAUCGAAUUUUCAAUAUUGUACUACAUGUUCUAGCACUCGUCAGAUAAUACUUUUUUGGUAUAAAAAACUAUAUAUUUAUUAUCAUUGUUAGCUUGAUGAAACCACAAAUUAAAGAAAUACAUAUCAGCUGGUCUCGAUGUUAACUUCAAUGUUAAAGCCACACUAAUCCCAUAGGUUGUAGAGAGGUCCUUCCAGAUCCAGUUGACCAGCUGGUCUCAAAAAUUAUCCAUCUUCUUCUGGAUAAUCUCUCUGUUUCUUUCUUUUUUUUUUUUUGAAUGGCAAAAGAUCUCACAAAAUAAGUAAAGAUCCGAACCUAAAAUUGACAUAAAACAAAAUAUCCUUCAGAGUACUUUAUCAUGGAACAUAUGAGUUUGCUGACAAAACAAGAGAGUGAUAGAUAAACCAACCAAGGAGAGACAGAGAAAAGACAUGGGAUAACUAGUAACGGCCAAUACCCCAAACCCUGAUAACUCCAUCGGUGUUAGUAAGAAAGUAUCUUUUCUGAAGGAGCUGAUAAUUGAUUUCUUUAUUUUCUUUUAGGAGGAGUUCCUAUGGGAAGCUGAAAUGGUUAAAAUAAAAGCCCAAGAUUUGAAGAAUCAGAGGUGGAACAAGCCAAAGAAUGGCUUCAUCUUUACGCUGAACUAGCCAAAGAAUGGCUUCAUCUUUACGCUGAACUAGCCUUGUACACCAAGAAGCAGACGGACCCGGUGAGUACCCAAAACAAAUGACUCUUUUUUUUUGUGUGUGUUUAUACUAUGUUACUAUAAGGAAUCUCUUCUUGGUGUUGUGUUACAGUUCAUGUUUGAGCGUUCAAAGCCCCUGGAGCUCGGAAAGGUUGUUGUGCAAACCAGAGGAGUUGUCGACUCUCUGAAAGAGGUCGAGCUGUUGGAUAAUGCAGUCUUCUUCAUAACCUUCAAAACAAGUUGCGGUGAUGUCUGGAAAGGUAUCAUCAGGAGGACAAGGGAUGGGAUUCCAGAGCAUCUAUCACUUGAAGCCAAGUGCUUCAUGUGAUGUGAAGAGUCUCUUCUGAGGUUGACUAUGAGAGAGAGAGUAAUUUUUUUUUAAAAACGGUCUGUAGUUCUAUCUACGCUAUCAAGUAUCUUUUAAGUUGAUUGUGCAAUCGUAAUGUUUGUCUUUUAAACUGAG
rnacentral:lncRNA from 1 species